AGCCGCCGCGGUAUUGUGUCAGCCGCCGCGGUAAUACCGGCGGCCCAAGUGGUGGCCGCUAUUAUUGGGCCUAAAGCGUCCGUAGCCGGGCCCGUAAGUCCCUGGCGAAAUCCCACGGCUCAACCGUGGGGCUUGCUGGGGAUACUGCGGGCCUUGGGACCGGGAGAGGCCGGGGGUACCCCUGGGGUAGGGGUGAAAUCCUAUAAUCCCAGGGGGACCGCCAGUGGCGAAGGCGCCCGGCUGGAACGGGUCCGACGGUGAGGGACGAAGGCCAGGGGAGCGAACCGGAUUAGAUACCCGGGUAGUCCUGGCUGUAAAGGAUGCGGGCUAGGUGUCGGGCGAGCUUCGAGCUCGCCCGGUGCCGGAGGGAAGCCGUUAAGCCCGCCGCCUGGGAGUACGCC
rnacentral:rRNA from 1 species